rnacentral:rRNA from 1 species
GCCAUGCAUGUCUAAGUAUAAGCAAUUAUACCGUGAAACUGCGAAUGGCUCAUUAAAUCAGUUAUCGUUUAUUUGAUAGUACCUUACUACUUGGAUAACCGUGGUAAUUCUAGAGCUAAUACAUGCUAAAAACCCCAACUUCGGGAGGGGUGUAUUUAUUAGAUAAAAAACCAAUGCCCUUCGGGGCUCCUUGGUGAUUCAUGAUAACUUCUCAGAUCGCAUGGCUUUACGCCGGCGACGGUUCAUUCAAAUUUCUGCCCUAUCAACUUUCGAUGGUAAGGUAUUGGCUUACCAUGGUUUCAACGGGUAACGGGGAAUUAGGGUUCGAUUCCGGAGAGGGAGCCUGAGAAACGGCUACCACAUCCAAGGAAGGCAGCAGGCGCGCAAAUUACCCAAUUCCGAUACGGAGAGGUAGUGACAAUAAAUACUGAUACAGGGCUCUUUUGGGUCUUGUAAUUGGAAUGAGUACAAUUUAAACCUCUUAACGAGGAACAAUUGGAGGGCAAGUCUGGUGCCAGCAGCCGCGGUAAUUCCAGCUCCAAUAGCGUAUAUUAAAGUUGUUGCAGUUAAAAAGCUCGUAGUUGAACCUUUGGCCUGGCUGGCAGGUCCGCCUCACCGCGUGCACUUGUCCGGCCGGGCCUUUUCUUCUGGAGAACCGCAUGCCCUUCACUGGGUGUGUUGGGGACCAGGACUUUUACUUUGAAAAAAUUAGAGUGUUCAAAGCAGGCCUUUGCUCGAAUACGUUAGCAUGGAAUAAUAGAAUAGGACGUGCGGUCCUAUUUUGUUGGUUUCUAGGACCGCCGUAAUGAUUAAUAGGGACAGUCGGGGGCAUCAGUAUUCAAUUGUCAGAGGUGAAAUUCUUGGAUUUAUUGAAGACUAACUACUGCGAAAGCAUUUGCCAAGGAUGUUUUCAUUAAUCAGUGAACGAAAGUUAGGGGAUCGAAGACGAUCAGAUACCGUCGUAGUCUUAACCAUAAACUAUGCCGACUAGGGAUCGGGCGGUGUUUCUAUUGUGACCCGCUCGGCACCUUACGAGAAAUCAAAGUGUUUGGGUUCUGGGGGGAGUAUGGUCGCAAGGCUGAAACUUAAA